GAUGAACGCUGGCGGCGUGCCUAAUACAUGCCAGUCGAGCGAACAGACGAGGAGCUUGCUCUUCUGACGUUAGCGGCGGACGGGUGAGUAACACGUGGAUAACCUACCUAUAAGACUGGGAUAACUUCGGGAAACCGGAGCUAAUACCGGAUAAUAUAUUGAACCGCAUGGUUCAAUAGUGAAAGACGGUUUUGCUGUCACUUAUAGAUGGAUCCGCGCUGCAUUAGCUAGUUGGUAAGGUAACGGCUUACCAAGGCAACGAUGCGUAGCCGACCUGAGAGGGUGAUCGGCCACACUGGAACUGAGACACGGUCCAGACUCCUACGGGAGGCAGCAGUAGGGAAUCUUCCGCAAUGGGCGAAAGCCUGACGGAGCAACGCCGCGUGAGUGAUGAAGGUCUUCGGAUCGUAAAACUCUGUUAUUAGGGAAGAACAAAUGUGUAAGUAACUAUGCACGUCUUGACGGUACCUAAUCAGAAAGCCACGGCUAACUACGUG
rnacentral:rRNA from 1 species